rnacentral:rRNA from 1 species
UGGGGAAUUUUGCACAAUGGGCGCAAGCCUGAUGCCGCGACGCCGCGUGAGGGAUGAAGGCCUUCGGGUUGUAAACCUUUUUCGCUCAUGGUCAAGCCGCAGCUUUGGGUUGUGGUGAGGGUAUUGGGUAAAGAAGCGCCGGCUAACUACGUGCCAGCAGCCGCGGUAAUACGUAGGGCGCGAGCGUUGUCCGGAAUUAUUGGGCGUAAAGGGCUUGUAGGCGGUUGGCCGCGUCUGCCGUGAAAUCCUCUGGCUUAACUGGGGGCGUGCGGUGGGUACGGGUUGACUUGAGUGCGGUAGGGGAGACUGGAAUUCCUGGUGUAGCGGUGGAAUGCGCAGAUAUCAGGAGGAACACCGGUGGCGAAGGCGGGUCUCUGGGCCGUUACUGACGCUGAGGAGCGAAAGCGUGGGGAGCGAACAGG